GGACUGUCUCCGAGGUCCUAACACAUUACAAAAGGUCCGAACAAUUCCGAACGAGGUCCGAACACAUUCCGAACGAGGUCCGAACACAUUCCGAACGAGAUCAAAGAGUUUCAAACGAGGUCCGAACGAGGUCCGAACAAGGUCCGAACACUGUCCGAACACUGAUUCCGAAUUGUGUCACGUGACCGAGGAGGCGUGGUUAUCGCUUUAGAGUCGCAGCAGAGCUAUAGAGAGAUAUAUGUACAACUCUGAAGUCGCAGCCAUUCUUUUCCACCGCAUCACUACAGACUCGGGAAUAAGAUGACUAAGACAGGAAAGCCAGACAGCUACUGGAGGGACCUCUGUAUAAAAUAUGCCCAGGGCCUUUACCGCUUCUCGACUGGCAAACGGCCAGGGGCCAAGAAAUGGAAAAAGGCCUUGGAGAACAUCGAUGCUUGCCCCCUGCAGAGCCAUAGUGGUAGUAAGGAUCUGUUCGGGAGAAGCCUUCAGUGCUCCUGUGGCUUCCACAAGGUAUGUGAAAUUAUUUUCCCCCUGUGGGUUCCACAAGGUAAGUGAGUUAUUUACUAAUUGAUUGUUUACAGGUUUGCUUGUUUCUUCCUCUGGUGGGCUUCAGUGAUUUUGCAGUAAUGCCUGAUGUAUUUUAACAACUGGAGAAAACUAGUAGUGUAGGAUUCUUAGAUGUAUGUACCAUGGCCUCUCUUUGUGAACCCCCCCCCAGCCAGCAGAUCUGUCAUCAGGAGCUGGGUCCAGUGAGGCAGGAGUAGUUGAGACGGAGGCAGGGCGAGUCCGAGUCGGCUCAGAGGCAGGAAGAGGAGACACGGAUGCAGGGGGAGCCCGGUCCCACACAGAGGCAGAGGCAGGGAGAGGAGACAAGGAGGCAGGGAGAAGAGACACAGAGACAAGGAGAGGAGUCACGGAUGCAGGGGGAGCCCAGUCCCACACCGAGGCAGAGGCAGGGAGAGGAGACAAGGAGGCAGGGAGAAGAGACACAGAGACAAGGAGAGGAGUCACGGAUGCAGGGGGAGCCCGGUCCCACAAAGAGGCAGAGGCAGAGAGAGGAGACAAGGAGGCAGGGCCAUCAGUGGCAGGACAGGAAUUGCAGUGCUACGGGUGCAACCAGCUUGUGGAGGCAGCACAUUUUUCAGAGCACCUGUCUGACCACCAUACUGAGGAGACGUGUGACACCUGUGGGGCCAAGGUGGAGGGUACUGUUGGUCUUUUGAACCAUAUUCAACAGGUUCACUAUGCAGGAUUCGUUAUGCCAUCGAUGCAAAAGCCAACAGUCCUAACAUCGAAGCCAACGCCAUCACCACCGAAGCCCACACUACUACCACCGAGGCCAACUCCAUCUCUGCUCCCUCCUUCAAAUAGCUGUGCCGCGCCAUACCACACUGCAACUCCACCUAAACCAACUCCAGUAGUUUGGAAAGGUUUUCUUCCCGAUCAGUUUCGGAAAGUCAUCCAACCGGCAGAUCAGGUGUGGAUUGCCAAGUGUCUAUAUGAGCCUACAGGUCAGCUCAAGCAGAAAUUUGAAGCCUGCUGGUUUCACCCCCCACUGGAGCCCAAACCCUCUCGUCCUGAGCCUGGGUGGUACCACCGGCAGAGGCUGUUCAUCUGGGCACCCAUGAGGAUGUGGGGGAUUUCCUUAAAAUGCCCAAAAUGUUCCGGGAAAAUGAACAGCUCCGGCAUAUACAGAAAGGUCAGGGAGGUGAUCGAUGUGGAUAGCCGCUAUUACCUAGUGGGAGGGGACUAUCCACGUUGCAGCAAGUGUUUGAACCCUUCCCUCUUAGUCUGCCCAUGGAGCCAGGAUAUUCUGUCCCAGUUGGAUGUGGCACACAGGAGCCUGUUCCCCGCUGUCCUCACCACCCAGCUGGCUCUUGACAGGAAAGCAGUGACUUUCCUCAAGCCAAGGACCAGUGGAAACAGUUCCUCCUACGUCCAGUCUGCGAUGGAAGAAGCGCACAGUGAGGAGUGGGCACGGCAGACCAUCCGCUACCUCUCGGACUGUGAGCGGCACAAGAAGAUGGCUACCUUCAUCCCCUCUGCAGCUGUCUAUCUUCCUCCACCAACCUUCAGGCCCCUUCCACUUGCUCAAUGGUUUGAGACGGUCCACUCCAACGACAUUCUCAGCCAUCUGGAUGAGAUGAAGGGAGUGAUCACUUCAACCUAUGGUAGAAUUCUGAAAAUGGAUUCAACAAAGAAGAUCACCAAGAAGCUGGCUGGCGGGAUCGGGGACAGUGCGGCAUGGAUGUCCAAUAUCGGAAACGAGUUAGGCCAGGUCCUGAACUCUGUUCUGACGUCGGGUGAAGGUGCAGGGUUGGAAGAGUUGUGCCAAGGCGUCGUCACUCGGUACAAGAAUGCAGGCCAAGCUGAACCUGAGGCCAUCUAUGUCGACCGAGACUGCUGCAGCCAGUCAGGCGUGUCUUCAGUGGCUAAGCUGUUUCACCCAUGGCAAACUACAGUGCGCUUGGACAGCUUCCACUUCAUGAGGCGCUUUAACUGCGGCCUCACAACAGAACACCACCCUCUGUAUGGUAUUUUCUGUGCCAAGCUUUCCUCCUGCAUUUUUGCAUGGGACCAGGAGGAUGUGCAACGCCUGAAGGAGGCCAAGAGAGAAGAGUGGAAGAGCAGCCACAGCGGGCAUACUCCCACUGAGGAGCAGCUCAUGGCCACCAUCAGUCCAGGCGAACUGAAGAGGCACUGCAGGAGGAGGACCCGUGGAGUGGAGGAGACGCGGGGCAUGAUCUCAGGGCUGCUGGAAUCAGUGUGGGAGCUGACGGACACCACAGGGCUGCGUCUGGUGAGCCAUGACAGCAUGCGCCAUGUCUGGGAAGUGCAGCAGAAGCACCUGGAGUGCCUC
ensembl:lncRNA